ensembl:lncRNA
AGCCAUCUGGGCACAGCCACGACUGUGGCUCUGGUCCUGCCAGGGUGUAGCCUUUGAAGAUGCUUCAAUGAAUUUCUAUUUUACUCCCCCUUAACUCCAUCUAGCUUCUGCUGCAGCUCCUUAAGGCAUCAAGGGAACAGACUGGAACCUGUCUGUGUGUCCUGCAGUAGGAGCCUGUGCCUGUGUCCCAGCAGUGUGUGGGCAGGGGUACAGUUUUCAGACAGUCACUGCCUGGGUGAGUGGAGAAAAUGCUGAAGCACUGAGAGAAAACCACUCCUGAAGAGCAGCAGAACUUGCCCAGAAGGAUGUUUCAUAGUGCAGCAAUUAACUGAUACACCAGGCUAUCAGGUGCCAAGGGGCUCUUUCCAUGGAAGAGGACAUCUGAAUCCAAGACAUUUAUUUUGCAUCUGAGGAGGUGCAGUGAGAGCCAGAGGGAGCAGCAUCCCCUGAGCAGGAGCAUGAGCUGGUACCACACUCUGAUCUCAUGUCUGUAGCCCCAAGCUCCUCCAAGGAUGCUCCUAAGUGGGGCUGGACUGAAAAAUCCCCAGUGCUUGGACCAGCUCAGGACAGAGCAGCCCCACCUGAGCCCAUAAAGUAGAUUUGGGACUGCCCUGAGCAGCUGCUGCUGCUGAAUGCCUGCUGGGGAGCACGGAGAAGCAACAGAGGGUGAGAGCUGCUGGUGCUCAGAAGGCACAGAUUCCAUCUUAUCUGGUCACUCUUCUCCUGGCCAGUAAAUCUGUGAGAAAGUGGCAAUGAAAUGUUAAUUACCUCCAAAAUUAUCUGCCUCCAGUUAUUGCUAGAAAUGGCAUUGAAAACAACAAAAUGUUGAACCUCAUGCAGCCACUUCACCAAGACUUCAAGACUUUUGACACUGGUGCAAAGGCUUCCACAGCAGAUCUGCACUGCAUGGAGAAGCUUUUCCUUCUGAUGCCUGCUUGCCUAAUUCCAUGAACAGAGACCAAGAGUUUGCCAGCCUGAGUAUAUUCCAAGGUGAUGAAUACCAUGGGACAACGUGAAACUCACAGACUGGUUUGAUUUCACUAUGAACACGGUCCUGUUCCAUGAUGAGUUUAUUCUCAUUUUGUUCAUAUUUGGACAUUAAUCUUCUCAAUGUUUGUGAAAAUCUCUGGAGAAGAGGGAUUCACGUGAAACACAAGGAGGAGAAUGAAGGCACCUCAGUGAUCUCUGAGAGAUUUUAUGCACUCAGAUUUGCCUGGAACUUGGCAGAAGCUCUUCACAAACACUGAGGUCGAUGAUAUUUGGCCUUCUGUGGCGUUUUCCAAGUAGGAUGUGAAGGACUGCAGGGUGCUAAGGGGUCAGUCCCAGUUCUGCAGCCACAUGUGGGUGUGUUUGAACCUUUCCACCCACACAGAGAGCCCAGCUCAGGGUGUCCCAGCUGCAGGGCCCACCCACAUGGACUGACUGCAAGCAGAGGUGUCUGAUUCAUUAGCACACCUCCUAUAAAACUGUAUUAUUCAUCAGUUUAAGGUAUUAAUCAUUUUCUGUUUAAAUUUCCUUCAGGGGCUUGUUAUUUGUUCUGUAGGUGUGUUUUAGCGUGUUGUAAUAUGAAAUCCACUUUCAUUUAAUCAGCUUAAAAUAUUUCCAGGUUUAUUACUUACAUGUAAAUCUGAAUUGAGAUAUAUAUGCAAUAACCAAGGAACAUGGAUUUGCAAAUAAGAUGUUUGACCUUUACCUUUUUUCAAAAUUACAGGACUGGUAACUGCUGUGUAAAUGAGUCAUCUGAAGAAUUAAAAAGCAGGUAGAUAACUGUUACUCCAACAUAUCUAUUUCAGUUAAGCAUCAGCUGCUAUUUCCAUUCUAAAUCCCAUUUUCAUGGGUAUAUAAUUUGAUGUAUUCAAUUCUAUGGGGCUUAAACUUCCCUUAGUACGUUUAACUUCACAAAUAAGCAUGGAAAUCUGAAGUUAAAUGACUGUGCUUCAAAAAGUGUCAUUUACCAAUAAAAGGAUAAGAUUUGUGUUCUAAGAUUUGGGUGCAAAUGGUGAAAAGGAACCUUAUACCACUAUGGUUUAGAUUGGUUCACUAUGGAUUUAACCACUGUGGCAUUGAACAGCAUUUUAAAUCGAAUUUCUUGUUACUUCUAUUCCACUUCUUUUCAAAUUAACUUUCAAACACCGCACGCUUUAAACAGGUGGGAAAUAAAUCUUCUAACAGGUAUCAUCAAUCUCCCAUCCUCAGACAAACAGGGUAUGUAAACAACCGAAUGCCAGUUAUCUGCAAUUAAAAUCAGUUUCAGGCAAGGAAACAUGGGGUUUUCACAGAGUGAUCCAGAAUACUUUGAGUCAGAACCAGAGAUAUUUUUAAAAAUUAUGAGCACUGUGGUCAUAAAUUUUAUGUCACUUAACUCAGAGAUAGCUGCCUUCUUUCUCUUCCUGAUGGGCAGAGAAAUGUGCCCUUCACAUUCUGCUGUCAUGUAGAUAUUAAAUUUGUCAAAACUGCAGUGACAUAC